AAAAAGACAAACCCUGGGUUUCCGUGUCCAACUUUAACUAUCCGUCUUAUAUGAAUUUUUUUUAUAAUUCGUAUUUUUAUUGUUGUUAGAUGAUAAAAUAUGAUUAAUAUUUUAUGCGUGACUUGUCUUCUAAAUUUUUUUCAUAAUUUUUUCAAAUAAGACGGACGGUCAAACGUUCGACACGGAAACCAGGGUUUGUCUUUUU
rfam:Oryza rufipogon genomic scaffold, chr07